ACACUUACCUAGCAGGAGAGUCACCUUGAUCAUGAAGGAGGUUUUCCCAGGGUGAGGCUCAGCCAUUGCACUCCAGUUGUGCUGACCCCUCUGAUUUCCCCAAAUUUGGGAAACUCAACUGCAUAAUUUGUGGAAGUGGGGGACUCUGCACGCGCUUUCACCUG
rnacentral:snRNA from 1 species